rnacentral:tRNA from 1 species
GCUGUUUUUCCCGAGUGGUUAAGGGGGGAAGACUUACGAUCUUCUUCACAUAAGUGCAUGUGGGUUCAAACCCCAUAGGCAACA